GGUGGAGUUUAGAAUUUACGAUUUAGGAUUUAGGGUUUAGGGGCGGAGUUUAAGGUUUAGGGUUAGAGUUAAGUAGUGGGAUUUAGGAUUUAAAUUUUAGGAUUUAUGGUUUAGAGUUUAGAGUUUAGAGUUUAGGAGUGGGGUUUAGGGUUUAGGGUUUAGAGUUAAGGGAUGUGGUUUAGGAUUUAGGGUUUAGGGUUUAAGAUUUAGGGUUUAGGGUUUAGAGUUUAGGUUUUAGGGUUUAGAGUUGAGGAGUUGGGUUUUGGGAUAAGAUUUCAAAUUUUGAAAAAAAAAAAAAAUUUAAAUUUUUCAAAAGAUAAAAUGCUAUUUUUGUCAUUUUAGC
rnacentral:lncRNA from 1 species